GAUGAACGCUGGCGGCGUGCCUAACACAUGCAAGUCGGACGAUCUGGAGCAAUCUGGGUAGUGGCGGACGGGUGCGUAACACGUAGGUGACCUGCCCUGGAGUGGGGAAUAAUUCCGCGAAAGCGGGACUAAUACCGCAUAAGCUCGCCGGUUCGAUCUGGUGAGUAAAGCCGAAAGGCGCUUUGGGAUGGGCCUGCGGCGGAUUAGCUAGUUGGUGGGGUAAAGGCUUACCAAGGCGAUGAUCCGUAGGGGGCGUGAGAGCGUGACCCCCCACAUUGGCACUGAGACACGGGCCAAACUCCUACGGGUGGCUG
rnacentral:rRNA from 1 species